GACGAACGCUGGCGGCGUGCUUAACACAUGCAAGUCGAACGGAAAGGCCCUGCUUUUGUGGGGUGCUCGAGUGGCGAACGGGUGAGUAACACGUGAGUAACCUGCCCUUGACUUGGGGAUAACUUCAGGAAACUGGGGCUAAUACCGGAUAGGAGCUCCUGCUGCAUGGUGGGGGUUGGAAAGUUUCGGCGGUUGGGGAUGGACUCGCGGCUUAUCAGCUUGUGGGUGGGGUAGUGGCUUACCAAGGCUUUGACAGGUAGCCGGCCUGAGAGGGUGACCGGCCACAUUGGGACUGAGAUACGCCCCAGACUCCUACGGGAGGCAGCAGUGGGGAAUAUUGCACAAUGGGCGGAAGCCUGAUGCAGCAACGCCGCGUGCGGGAUGACGGCCUUCGGGUUGUAAACCGCUUUCGCCUGUGACGAAGCGUGAGUGACGGUAAUGGGUAAAGAAGCACCGGCUAACUACGUG
rnacentral:rRNA from 1 species